CAGUCUACAGUCCACUAGUACAGGUAUUGUGAUACAGUCCACCAGUACAGGUAUUGUGAUACAGUCCACCAGUACAGGUAUUGUGAUACAGUCUACAGUCCACUAGUACAGGUAUUGUGAUACAGUCCACCAGUACAGGUAUUGUGAUACAGUCCACCAGUACAGGUAUUGUGAUACAGUCUACAGUCCAC